UUAGGUCAGUUGUUCACAUGACUUUAGUCAUGUAUUAUUGCUUUGGUACUAAAUGCACCGAGUGAGCCCUGCAGAUCAAAAUAGUUUGCAAUUAUUUGCUAUUGAAUCAUAUAACUCUCAAAUGUAACUAUACACAUGUUCAUUGUGUAAAUCCAGACAUGCAAAAUAGAGCAACCAACAAUCACAAUAACCUGUCACAUAUAUGUUAGAUACAUAAUAGUUAUGUGGUGUUGUUUUAAAAGUUGUCAGAUGGAUAGACGUAGGCUGUAUUGGGAACAAUACAAUUUCCUUAAAAUAUAGACCAACCAAACACAAGCAGGUGACAGUUGAGGAUAUCACAGCAGAUAGUUGUAAGGGGAGGGGGGGGGGCUCCAUCAUGCCUGUUUACAGUUCACCAUAAAUAAAGGCCUUUGUCUAUCCAUAGGUAUCAGAAUGCACUGUUUCCAGCAGAACAGAGCUGAAAUAAAGGUUGCCAUUGAUUGAGAUUCCCCAAAGGAUACUCACAGACUAGGGAAGAGAGUUUGUAAACAACAUAAACACUGAAGUGUGUCAAGAGGAGUCUAUGUGCCCCUCACCAUCCCCAGAUGAACGGUUUGGUGGAGAGGCUGAAUACAGAGGUUGAUGGGGCCUUUGAAGUGGCUUUUUCAGAGGAACAGGUGGCCGUGGACAUAUAGCGACAGGAGGACAUCCUAAACAUUAUCCAGGGAAACCAGGAGAAAGUUCCGAAAAGAACAAAGGCGUGAAUGCAAACCCAUAGUCAAAUCCUUCAGGUGGGAGACAGCCAAGAAGCCAGCCAAGGAAAGGGGGAAAGCUGGACCCAGACUUCCUUGGACCAUACACCAUUUAAAAAGUUGAGGGAAAAAGUAUUGACCUUGUUGAUAGUACAGGGAAAACUUUCAGCAAGGUCAACAUUGAUCAACUUAAAAGAUAUCAAACGGAGAACCCAAGCAUCCCACAUAAAUUGAGUGGAUGUGUCUGACAUCAGCUCCUCCUCACCUGCUUCCCCAAAAACAUCACCACAACACCCACCACCUCAUCAACAGAUUCAACCGCAAAACCAGCUUCAAGCACCACGCCACCUCCUGCCACCUCUUCUGGACUUGCUGCCACCUCAUCCAAUCCUGAAAAAUAUCCAGGGUGACUGGUGUGAGUGCUGGUACCACAACAGCUGCGUUGGAUUCCAAGAUGGUGGUGCAAUAUACAGCUGUCCGGCAUGCAGCCCUGACCAAUAAUGGAAAUACAUCUGUAAACAGCAUUGCCAGCCAAAAAUGUCGUUUUGAGUUAUUGUAAAUAGUCACAUUUUGAUUAAUACAGAGAGUAAUUUUAAGUUAUUGUAAAUAGUUU